rnacentral:rRNA from 1 species
GACGAACGCUGGCGGCGUGCCUAAUACAUGCAAGUAGAACGCUGAAGGAGGAGCUUGCUUCUCUGGAUGAGUUGCGAACGGGUGAGUAACGCGUAGGUAACCUGCCUGGUAGUGGGGGAUAACUAUUGGAAACGAUAGCUAAUACCGCAUAAUAGCAGUUGUUGCAUGAUAACUGUUUGAAAGGUGCAAUUGCACCGCUACCAGAUGGACCUGCGUUGUAUUAGCUAGUUGGUGGGGUAACGGCUCACCAAGGCGACGAUACAUAGCCGACCUGAGAGGGUGAUCGGCCACACUGGGACUGAGACACGGCCCAGACUCCUACAGGAGGCAGCAGUAGGGAAUCUUCGGCAAUGGACGGAAGUCUGACCGAGCAACGCCGCGUGAGUGAAGAAGGUUUUCGGAUCGUAAAGCUCGGUUGUAAGAGAAGAACGAGUGUGAGAGUGGAAAGUUCACACUGUGACGGUAUCUUACCAGAAAGGGACGGCUAACUACGUG